rnacentral:lncRNA from 1 species
AGAGUCCUCCAGAAGGCAGCUCCAGCACUGGGGAGGAGGCUGGGGUUGACAAGUUGUCCCAUUUGCUUUAUUGAAACCAGCAUGUCUGGCCACCCAAGCAUUUGGUUUCUGACAAGCUUCCACCUGCAGCAGUGAGCUCAAUCGGGUAAUUAUUACCAGCCCUUACUACCUGCAUUACCAGAGCUGCUACGGAGAAGACAGUUUUGUUCUUUUUUAAAGGGCUUUCAUGUGGUUACUGAGGCUUGUGAAAAAAAAUCCUCUCUCCCCCCAAUAGCUGCCUGCACAACAUGCUGUGUUCUCCUCCUCCCCUCCCCUACCCCCUUCCACAACUUUCAGGCUUUCAAGUUAUGCAACGCUUCGACAUGGCGCUGGGAGAACAGGAGAAGAACAGAAUCAUCACAAAGGGGUCCAAGAUUCUACAUCUGCUUUUCUGGAGAAGACGUUCCAGCGUAUUUUUCCUUUUGCAAGGAAGAAGGAGAAGCAAAAAGCCUCAAACUGCUGUUCUACAAAAUGAGCUCAACAUGGCAUCUGGCCCAAGCUGCUCGUCCAUUCAGUGGCUGGGCCCAAACUGAAAAGAGCAUCAUGUUCCUGCACUUCACUCUAUAUCCUCUUGGAGUCCAAAGAGAACACCUUCAGCCCCAAGCACCUUGAACAUCAACCUAAAGCCACUUCGCCCAAAGCAAUGUUCCUAGUGAAACACUGUGGGAUCCCACAGCAACGUUCAAGACAAACCAAAGGGCAUGGGCUGUGUUUCCUUGGAAGUGGCUCUGAAUUUCUUGCAACGAUCCCUGAACUUUGCCCAGUAACCUGUUGCUUGUCUCAAAUAUAACAUUGAGAAACAUCCAAUCAUUAUUUAAAGACUUGAAGUGAUAGAAAACCUGCCAUACAUCUGAAAAGGACUUUGGGAUGAUUAAUUAUGCUCUGUAUGAAAGCUUUUCAUCUUAUUUCUGCUUUGACCUUUGGUAGCUCCAGCUUACUGGAUCUUGCUAUUCUUUUGUCUAAAGAAGUUUAAAGGACCCUCCAACUAGAACUGAUUACUGUGAAUAAAGGGACCUUCUGCCAUCUCCA